UGGGGAAUAUUGGACAAUGGGCGCAAGCCUGAUCCAGCCAUGCCGCGUGAGUGAUGAAGGCCUUAGGGUUGUAAAGCUCUUUCGCCGACGAAGAUAAUGACGGUAGUCGGAGAAGAAGCCCCGGCUAACUUCGUGCCAGCAGCCGCGGUAAUACGAAGGGGGCUAGCGUUGUUCGGAAUCACUGGGCGUAAAGCGCACGUAGGCGGAUUGUUAAGUCAGGGGUGAAAGCCUGGAGCUCAACUCCAGAACUGCCCUUGAUACUGGCAAUCUCGAGUCCGGAAGAGGUAAGUGGAACUGCGAGUGUAGAGGUGAAAUUCGUAGAUAUUCGCAAGAACACCAGUGGCGAAGGCGGCUUACUGGUCCGGUACUGACGCUGAGGUGCGAAAAGCGUGGGGGAGCAAAACAGGAUUAGAUACCCUGGUAGUCCACGCCGUAAAACGAUGGAGGCUAGCCGUUGGCGAGCAUGCUCGUCAGUGGCGCAGCUAACGCAUUAAGCCUCCCGCCUGGGGAGUACGGUCGC
rnacentral:rRNA from 1 species